rnacentral:rRNA from 1 species
AUUGAACGCUGGCGGCAGGCCUAACACAUGCAAGUCGAGCGGAUGAAGGGAGCUUGCUCCUGGAUUCAGCGGCGGACGGGUGAGUAAUGCCUAGGAAUCUGCCUGGUAGUGGGGGAUAACGUCCGGAAACGGGCACUAAUACCGCAUACGUCCUGAGGGAGAAAGUGGGGGAUCUUCGGACCUCACGCUAUCAGAUGAGCCUAGGACGGAUUAGCUAGUUGGUGGGGUAAAGGCCUACCAAGGCGACGAUCCGUAACUGGUCUGAGAGGAUGAUCAGUCACACUGGAACUGAGACACGGUCCAGACUCCUACGGGAGGCAGCAGUGGGGAAUAUUGGACAAUGGGCGAAAGCCUGAUCCAGCCAUGCCGCGUGUGUGAAGAAGGUCUUCGGAUUGUAAAGCACUUUAAGUUGGGAGGAAGGGCAGUAAGUUAAUACCUUGCUGUUUUGACGUUACCAACAGAAUAAGCACCGGCUAACUUCGUG